rnacentral:rRNA from 1 species
AUGCACUUUUCCUUUUCUUUUGUCGUCACAAAUAUACAAUUUCAGGCACUUUUGUUUUCCUCCGUGCCAACUCGUCGUACACAAGAGACAGAAAAGUGGUUGGCCCCUCCCUCCCCCUCUCUCUCAUACAUAGAUAUUUUUUUUCUCUCCCUCGUCGUUCCACAGAUGGCAGGUUAUCAGAGGCUGAUCACACAUUCCAUAAACAUUUGCUCCAUAAUUUCCUCCCCUCUCCCCAGCCUUUCCAUACAUCACCCAGCCUUCCUUCCUCCCCAAAACCUCACACAGAUCCUUCCCUCUCUCCUAUAUAUAUACAUUUCUCUCUCCCAUCAAAGCUCCCUCCCCUCCCCCAUCUCCAGCAGCCCUCCUCGCCUCCUCUCCUCCCGCGAGCAGCAGCCGUCCACGGCCAGAGACCAAGGCGGGCGCGGUGCGGUGCGUGACAGUCUGACGGAGAGCUAG